UUAGAGUUUGAUCAUGGCUCAGGACGAACGCUGGCGGCGCGCUUAACACAUGCAAGUCGAGCGAGAACCGGUCCUUCGGGACCGGGGAAAGCGGCGAACGGGUGAGUAACACGUGGGUAAUCCACCCUCGGCACCGGAAUAGCCCGGGGAAACCCGGAUUAAUGCCGGAUGGCCCAGCAGCUCUUCGGGGCGGUUGGAAAAGGUAGCUUCGGCCUCCGGCCGGGGACGAGCCCGCGGCGGAUUAGCUUGUUGGUGGGGUAACGGCCCACCAAGGCGACGAUCAGUAGCUGGUUUGAGAGAACGACCAGCCACACUGGGACUGAGACACGGCCCAGACUCCUACGGGAGGCAGCAGUGGGGAAUUUUGGACAAUGGGGGCAACCCUGAUCCAGCAAUGCCGCGUGAGUGAAGAAGGCCUUCGGGUUGUAAAGCUCUUUUGUUCGGAACGAAACGGUUCUAGCUAAUACCUGGGACUAAUGACGGUACCGGAAGAAUAAGCACCGGCUAACUACGUGCCAGCAGCCGCGGUACGCC
rnacentral:rRNA from 1 species